UCACAUUUCCUUGCAUUGCCUCAAGAAGCGAUGAAAUUGUUUCGAAGUGCUACUGUUCUUUGCAUUUUGCUUUGGAUGCCACAUCACUGCAACUCCAUCAUAGUUCAGCAGUCUCCCAUGGUACUUAAGAGACCCGGUGAAUCGGCGGAGCUCUAUUGCCAUCACGAUGACAGCAGCUACCCCAACAUCUACUGGUACCAACAGCCGGAGGGUCGUGGUGGGCUGAAGCUCAUGACCUACUCCUUUAGCACUGGAGAUGCUACAGAUGAAGAGGAGUUUAAAGGGAGAUUAAACACCAUCAGGGACGGUGCUCAGAAAGGCUGGGUCACCAUCAAAAACUUAAAAAACACCGACACGGGAUUGUAUUUCUGCGCAGCAAGUAUGCACAGCGACACAGCUCUGCUGAGGAGGGUGCAGAAAACUCCCUAUGACGUUCCGUAGCUCUUACGUGUGCCU